rfam:Populus trichocarpa scaffold_1_contig_784, whole genome shotgun sequence.
UCUAGAACUCGAGAUAUGAGUUGAACACUGAAUAAUGUCUAGGCUGCAGGACAGAUUCUGACUUCGCUUUUGUUGCUACAAUUUGAACUUGAAAAUGGCCAUUUUGAAUCUUGGACACUCAUGAGUUUUAGGCCAAUGUCUUAGCUUUCCAUC